rnacentral:lncRNA from 1 species
GCUCAGGCAGCUUCUAUUGGCCUGCUGAUUUCUCUUUCCCUCCCACAGCCCUGUCCUAGACAGAGUAGAGUCUUGGCAACUUCAGUCCAAUGGAGAAGCAGAGAGCUGUUUUUCCUGGAUACCACACUCCAGGUCUGUCGCACAGACUCAAGACAGACACAGUGAGAGGGAGGUCGCGAGGUUUGGACUAUGGGUGUCUAUGCAAGUUAUUUCCACAAGAGCGAAGGACAAAUGCUUAUAGACCUGACAGAUCCUUCUCAGGCAAACUGGAUUACAACACACGCGGAGGCCUGCAAAAUGACGGUCCCAGAGGUGCAGAGAUGCUGGAGCCGAUUCCUCAUGCUGCGGCCGGAUCAGAAGGGAAACGUGUCUCGAGCUCAGCUUGCCAGUGUGACAGAUACAUUUGGCCACAAGUUGCUGGAUCAAGUUCCUCUUGCAGAUGAAGACCGGAUAACAUUCCAAGCCUAUUGUAAUGCUGUGUGCUGGCUGUCGAAGAGCCCUCUGGAAACCAGACUUAAAGGAUUAUUUCAGACCAUAACGUCUGGCACCAUCGGCAAGGAACAGCUGCAGUCUCUGCUGCAGAACCUGUACCCCAGAGAAGACCCAAAGACCAUUCAGGAACUUGGCACUCUUUACCUCAGUGAAGUGGAUAAAAGCAAUCAAGGUAAUUUGGCAGCUGUUGAGUUAAUUAUUUGCCAUGUAUGGGCGGGACUACCUCAUGAUUAUGACGAACUAGCUGGUGCCAGUCACCACACUGACUCCCCCUGGUUCCCAUUACUGACAUCANNNNNNNNNNCUUGCAUCUGAAGAGGUGAGGUUCUUACCCACGAA